rnacentral:rRNA from 1 species
UGCCAGCAGCCGCGGUAAUACGUAGGGGGCAAGCGUUAUCCGGAUUUAUUGGGCAUAAAGGGCGUGUAGGUGGCGUUUUAAGUCAGUUGUUAAAGGCAUCGGCUCAACCGAUGUAUGCAAUUGAAACUGAAAUGCUAGAGGACAGUAGAGGAAAGCGGAACUCACAGUGUAGCGGUGAAAUGCGUAGAUAUUGUGAGGAACACCAGUUGCGAAGGCGGCUUUCUGGCCUGAUCCUGACACUGAGACGCGAAAGCGUGGGGAGCGAACGGGAUUAGAUA